rnacentral:rRNA from 1 species
CGACCGGCGCACGGGUGAGUAACGCGUAUGCAACUUACCUAUCAGAGGGGGAUAGCCCGGCGAAAGUCGGAUUAAUACCCCAUGAAACAGGGGUCCCGCAUGGGAAUAUUUGUUAAAGAUUCAUCGCUGAUAGAUAGGCAUGCGUUCCAUUAGGCAGUUGGCGGGGUAACAGCCCACCAAACCGACGAUGGAUAGGGGUUCUGAGAGGAAGGUCCCCCACAUUGGUACUGAGACACGGACCAA